rnacentral:piRNA from 1 species
UAAGCACACAAGACGAAACCUGCUACA